GCUCCUUUUCCAUUCCUUUUUCCUGUCUCAACACUGUUGCAUGCCUUGCAACUACUGCAAGGAAUGUACAAAACGCUUCCGAGGCCAUAGUUCCGCUCCCCUACAGUAUCCAGUAAUUGGAGAGGACAGUUGCACAUCUUACAAUAGAGGUUUUCAGCAAGGUGAAGCAAUUCAACUACUCUUCUUCCUUCUUUCUAACUGUCGUCGUGCGAUGGAUCGUUUGAUACAGUUACAGAUGCUCCUACGUCAAGUUCACAAUUAGUUAUAAUGUCAUGAUCAUCUUGUAAAUUGUCAGUAAAUUUUCCAUAUGGAUGGUCGUCGGUACAUAUCUUGUUCAUGUAUUUCACCUUUGAUGACCGUACGAAGUUUAUUUUUCUGUUAAACUUCCCGUUCUUCCGGAAACGAG
rnacentral:lncRNA from 1 species